GUCUAUGGCCAUGCCACCCUGAACAGGCCCGAUCUCAUCUGAUCUCGGAAGCUAAGCGGGGUCGGGCCUGGUUAGCACUCGGAUGGGAGACCACCUAGGAAGACCAGGUGCUGUAGGCG
rnacentral:rRNA from 1 species